ACCUACGGGAGGCAGCAGUGAGGAAUAUUGGACAAUGGCCGGAAGGCUGAUCCAGCCAUGCCGCGUGCGGGAAGACGGCCCUAUGGGUUGUAAACCGCUUUUGUUGGGGAGCAAUAAGGGUCACGUGUGACCCGAUGAGAGUACCCAGCGAAUAAGCAUCGGCUAACUCCGUGCCAGCAGCCGCGGUAAUA
rnacentral:rRNA from 1 species